UACGUAGGGUGCAAGCGUUGUCCGGAAUUAUUGGGCGUAAAGAGCUCGUAGGCGGUUUGUCGCGUCGGCUGUGAAAACCUGGGGCUUAACUCCGGGCCUGCAGCCGAUACGGGCAAGCUAGAGUUCGGCAGGGGAGACUGGAAUUCCUGGUGUAGCGGUGAAAUGCGCAGAUAUCAGGAGGAACACCGGUGGCGAAGGCGGGUCUCUGGGCCGAUACUGACGCUGAGGAGCGAAAGCGUGGGGAGCGAACAGG
rnacentral:rRNA from 1 species